CCUACAUGCUGCUUGUUUAUUUAAACAGUCUAUUUAAUCAGUCUAUUUGCUAGAUUUGUUUAGGCAGCUUAAUUGCUGAAAUUUAUUUAGGCAGGGUUCUUGCUAGAUUUGUUUUAACAGUUUGUCUCCUGUGUUUAUCUAGGCAGUCUAUUGCUGGGUUUAUCUAGGCAGUCUAUUGCUGGGUUUAGCUAGGCAGUUUAUUUCCUAUACCACUUCAUGCUAUGUAGCUGCAUUAUCAC